UCCUGACUGACCGAUAGUGAACCAGUACCGUGAGGGAAAGGCGAAAAGAACCCCGGCGAGGGGAGUGAAAAAGAACCUGAAACCGUGUACGUACAAGCAGUGGGAGCACGCUUAGGCGUGUGACUGCGUACCUUUUGUAUAAUGGGUCAGCGACUUAUAUUCUGUAGCAAGGUUAACCGAAUAGGGGAGCCGAAGGGAAACCGAGUCUUAACUGGGCGUUAAGUUGCAGGGUAUAGACCCGAAACCCGGUGAUCUAGCCAUGGGCAGGUUGAAGGUUGGGUAACACUAACUGGAGGACCGAACCGACUAAUGUUGAAAAAUUAGCGGAUGACUUGUGGCUGGGGGUGAAAGGCCAAUCAAACCGGGAGAUAGCUGGUUCUCCCCGAAAGCUAUUUAGGUAGCGCCUCGUGAAUUCAUCUCCGGGGGUAGAGCACUGUUUCGGCAAGGGGGUCAUCCCGACUUACCAACCCGAUGCAAACUGCGAAUACCGGAGAAUGUUAUCACGGGAGACACACGGCGGGUGCUAACGUCCGUCGUGAAGAGGGAAACAACCCAGACCGCCAGCUAAGGUCCCAAAGUCAUGGUUAAGUGGGAAACGAUGUGGGAAGGCCCAGACAGCCAGGAUGUUGGCUUAGAAGCAGCCAUCAUUUAAAGAAAGCGUAAUAGCUCACUGGUCGAGUCGGCCUGCGCGGAAGAUGUAACGGGGCUAAACCAUGCACCGAAGCUGCGGCAGCGACGCUUAUGCGUUGUUGGGUAGGGGAGCGUUCUGUAAGCCUGCGAAGGUGUGCUGUGAGGCAUGCUGGAGGUAUCAGAAGUGCGAAUGCUGACAUAAGUAACGAUAAAGCGGGUGAAAAGCCCGCUCGCCGGAAGACCAAGGGUUCCUGUCCAACGUUAAUCGGGGCAGGGUGAGUCGACCCCUAAGGCGAGGCCGAAAGGCGUAGUCGAUGGGAAACAGGUUAAUAUUCCUGUACUUGGUGUUACUGCGAAGGGGGGACGGAGAAGGCUAUGUUGGCCGGGCGACGGUUGUCCCGGUUUAAGCGUGUAGGCUGGUUUUCCAGGCAAAUCCGGAAAAUCAAGGCUGAGGCGUGAUGACGAGGCACUACGGUGCUGAAGCAACAAAUGCCCUGCUUCCAGGAAAAGCCUCUAAGCAUCAGGUAACAUCAAAUCGUACCCCAAACCGACACAGGUGGUCAGGUAGAGAAUACCAAGGCGCUUGAGAGAACUCGGGUGAAGGAACUAGGCAAAAUGGUGCCGUAACUUCGGGAGAAGGCACGCUGAUAUGUAGGUGAAGUCCCUUGCGGAUGGAGCUGAAAUCAGUCGAAGAUACCAGCUGGCUGCAACUGUUUAUUAAAAACACAGCACUGUGCAAACACGAAAGUGGACGUAUACGGUGUGACGCCUGCCCGGUGCCGGAAGGUUAAUUGAUGGGGUCAGCGCAAGCGAAGCUCUUGAUCGAAGCCCCGGUAAACGGCGGCCGUAACUAUAACGGUCCUAAGGUAGCGAAAUUCCUUGUCGGGUAAGUUCCGACCUGCACGAAUGGCGUAAUGAUGGCCAGGCUGUCUCCACCCGAGACUCAGUGAAAUUGAACUCGCUGUGAAGAUGCAGUGUACCCGCGGCAAGACGGAAAGACCCCGUGAACCUUUACUAUAGCUUGACACUGAACAUUGAGCCUUGAUGUGUAGGAUAGGUGGGAGGCUUUGAAGUGUGGACGCCAGUCUGCAUGGAGCCGGCCUUGAAAUACCACCCUUUAAUGUUUGAUGUUCUAACGUGGACCCGUGAUCCGGGUUGCGGACAGUGUCUGGUGGGUAGUUUGACUGGGGCGGUCUCCUCCUAAAGAGUAACGGAGGAGCACGAAGGUUGGCUAAUCCUGGUCGGACAUCAGGAGGUUAGUGCAAUGGCAUAAGCCAGCUUGACUGCGAGCGUGACGGCGCGAGCAGGUGCGAAAGCAGGUCAUAGUGAUCCGGUGGUUCUGAAUGGAAGGGCCAUCGCUCAACGGAUAAAAGGUACUCCGGGGAUAACAGGCUGAUACCGCCCAAGAGUUCAUAUCGACGGCGGUGUUUGGCACCUCGAUGUCGGCUCAUCACAUCCUGGGGCUGAAGUAGGUCCCAAGGGUAUGGCUGUUCGCCAUUUAAAGUGGUACGCGAGCUGGGUUUAGAACGUCGUGAGACAGUUCGGUCCCUAUCUGCCGUG
rnacentral:rRNA from 1 species